rnacentral:rRNA from 1 species
GACGAACGCUGGCGGCGUGCUUAACACAUGCAAGUCGAACGGAAAGGCCCUGCUUUUGUGGGGUGCUCGAGUGGCGAACGGGUGAGUAACACGUGAGUAACCUGCCCUUGACUUUGGGAUAACUUCAGGAAACUGGGGCUAAUACCGGAUAGGAGCUCCUGCUGCAUGGUGGGGGUUGGAAAGUUUCGGCGGUUGGGGAUGGACUCGCGGCUUAUCAGCUUGUUGGUGGGGUAGUGGCUUACCAAGGCUUUGACGGGUAGCCGGCCUGAGAGGGUGACCGGCGACCUUGGGACUGAGAUACGGCGCAGACUCCUACGGGAGGCAGCAGUGGGGAAUAUUGCACAAUGAGCGGAAGCCUGAUGCAGCAACGCCGCGUGCGGGAUGACGGCCUUCGGGUUGUAAACCGCUUUCGCCUGUGACGAAGCGUGAGUGACGGUAAUGGGUAAAGAAGCACCGGCUAACUACGUG